CCCGCACAAGCGGAGGAACAUGUGGUUUAAUUCGAUGAUACGCGAGGAACCUUACCCGGGUUUGAACGUAGGGAGACAGGAGUGGAAACAUUCUAUUCAGCAAUGACUGCCUACGAGGUGCUGCAUGGUUGUCGUCAGCUCGUGCCGUGAGGUGUCGGCUUAAGUGCCAUAACGAGCGCAACCCUUAUUUCCAGUUACUAACAGGUGAUGCUGAGGACUCUGGAGAGACUGCCAGCGUAAGCUGUGAGGAAGGUGGGGAUGACGUCAAAUCAGCACGGCCCUUACAUCCGGGGCGACACACGUGUUACAAUGGUAAGGACAAAGGGCAGCUACCGGGCGACCGGAUGCGAAUCUCUAAACCUUAUCUCAGUUCGGAUCGGAGUCUGCAACUCGACUUCGUGAAGUUGGAUUCGCUAGUAAUCGCGCAUCAGCCAUGGCGCGGUGAAUACGUUCCCGGGCCUU
rnacentral:rRNA from 1 species